AGAGCAUCUUCAUCAGUAGUCU
rnacentral:snRNA from 1 species